AUGGAUGACAACUUAUUUGUGCAUCUGCUCCCAAAGCUUGUUGCAACACUGGUCACCGUCAGCAGGAAGCACAUGCUGCAGUUAUCCGUAAAUGCCCUUAGAGUUAUGGCAAGCCAAUCAGUACACUAUGACAAAGAUGAUGACAGUUUCUUUGCCAUUGUUGAAAUACAUGUUCCAGCACAUGAAAAUAUUCCUCAGUUUAAAACAACCAUAUUUGCUGGACACAACUGCCAAACAACAAACGCGGCUCAUGAAUCAGCGAGCGUUGCUGCUCUACAUUACAUACAGCAAGCAGGCAUUCUAAUUAUCAAUGACCUGAAUUUCCUUGAGCUUCAAAAGUGCAAAAAAGAGGUGGUCAGAGCCAAGUCAUGGUCAGACAUAUUUGAGCAUGAAACAGUCAAGCUAAAGAGAAAAUUAGGUUCGUUAGAGAGGGAAUUAGCAUCUCUUAAAGAGAACAGUGAUGUUCGUAAGCCAAUCCAGCAACCCCAGGCAAUAGAAGAGCCCGACCAACAGCCCUCAGCUGCAUUGCAAAUGUCAAUGUUGCCUACUGAACAACAGUUUAUACAGCCUAUUCCAGUUGCAGACAUGGUGUCAACACCACCACAUGAACAUCAUUGGACUGAACUUUUCACUGCUGCCAAGAAGUCCAAAGAGAACAACAAAGGCGAUGGCCCCUUGCUGUCAGCUACAACAUCAGCUCAUAAAUUACCUUCUUCUAGUGCCAGAACUCUAACAUGA
rnacentral:rRNA from 1 species